UACUCUGACCGUGCAAAGGUAGCAUAAUCAUUUGCCUUAUAAUUGAAGGCUGGAAUGAAUGGUUUGACAAGAAUACACCUGUCUCUUUUAGAUUGCUUAGAAUUUUAUCUCUGGAUGAAAAAGUCUAGAUAUAAUUAAAAGACAAGAAGACCCUAUCGAGCUUUAGAAGAAUUAGUAGAUUUAAUUUAGAUCUAUAUAAGUAAAAGAAAAACUAUUAAAUACUUUGGUUGGGGCAACCGAGGAGUAAAUAAAGCCUCCUUUAGAAUAAUAAAUCUUACUUGUGUUGAUCCAAAAUUUUUGAUCAAAGGAAUUAGUUACCGUAGGGAUAACAGCAUUAUCUUUUUUGAGAGCUCAUAUCGAAAAAAAGGUUUGUGACCUCGAUGUUGGACCAGAAUGUCCUAAAGAUGCA
rnacentral:rRNA from 1 species